GACGGAAGGUGCAAGCGUUGCUCGGAAUUACUGGGCGUAAAGGGCGCGUAGGUGGCCUUUUGAGUCAGACGUGAAAUCCCCCGGCUUAACCUGGGAACUGCGUCUGAUACUGGAAGGCUUGAGUUCGGGAGAGGGAUGUGGAAUUCCAGGUGUAGCGGUGAAAUGCGUAGAUAUCUGGAGGAACACCGGUGGCGAAGGCGGCAUCCUGGACCGAAACUGACACUGAGGCGCGAAAGCCAGGGGAGCAAACGGG
rnacentral:rRNA from 1 species